UACAGAGGGUGCAAGCGUUGUUCGGAAUUAUUGGGCGUAAAGCGCGUGUAGGCGGCUUUGCAAGUCGGGUGUGAAAAGCCCUCAGCUUAACUGAGGAAGUGCGCCCCGAAAACUGCAGAGCUUGAGUACCGGAGAGGAUGGCGGAAUUCCCCAAGUAGAGGUGAAAUUCGUAGAUAUGGGGAGGAACACCGGUGGCGAAGGCGGCCACCUGGCCGGUAACUGACGCUGAGACGCGAAAGCAUGGGGAGCAAACAGG
rnacentral:rRNA from 1 species